rnacentral:lncRNA from 1 species
AAUAAUGUUUGCAGAUGUUCGCAGCUAGCUGCAAACCUCCUGCAAACAUUGCAGCUUUUUGCUGCAAGCUUGCAGAAACAAAUAUGUUUGCAGUAAGAUUGCAGGAAAAACUAGAAUAUAAGGGAUGUUCGCAGCUAGAUUGCAGGAAUCUUUGACAAUUUUAUAUGUUUGCAAGAGCAUUGCAAGAAACUACAUAAAACGACUGAGCAUGCCUAUUGGUAACUUCCUGGAAGAUAAAGAUUUGAAAUUUGAAAAUGUUGGUGAUGUUUGUGUCAUGAUAUAUAUUAGUGUUCAGGGAGGCAUUAUAGUUUGGCAAUUAACAGAUAAGUUUUUAGAGACAUUAUUUGUAAGUACAUAUUCAUCGUACAAUGUUAAUUUAACUUAUGAAAUUCAUUCCUUCCACAGAUAUCUGCAUGAGGUUUAAAAUAUAUUUUCAAAUAUGUAACCAUGCAAUAUACA